rnacentral:hammerhead_ribozyme from 1 species
AUCCAGCUGGCGAGUCCCAAACAGAACGAAACGGACAUCCUAGAU